ACAUUGUAGAAAGGGUCAAAAUGAUAUAAUUUCUGCAUUUCAUUGGGCGCUAUCUACAAUGUAG
rnacentral:pre_miRNA from 1 species